AGAGUUUGAUCAUGGCUCAGGAUGAACGCUGGCGGCGUGCCUAAUACAUGCAAGUCGAGCGAACGGACGAGAAGCUUGCUUCUCUGAUGUUAGCGGCGGACGGGUGAGUAACACGUGGAUAACCUACCUAUAAGACUGGGAUAACUUCGGGAAACCGGAGCUAAUACCAGAUAAUAUUUUGAACCGCAUGGUUCAAAAGUGAAAGACGGUCUUGCUGUCACUUAUAGAUGGAUCCGCGCUGCAUUAGCUAGUUGGUAAGGUAACGGCUUACCAAGGCAACGAUGCAUAGCCGACCUGAGAGGGUGAUCGGCCACACUGGAACUGAGACACGGUCCAGACUCCUACGGGAGGCAGCAGUAGGGAAUCUUCCGCAAUGGGCGAAAGCCUGACGGAGCAACGCCGCGUGAGUGAUGAAAGUCUUCGGAUCGUAAAACUCUGUUAUUAGGGAAGAACAUAUGUGUAAGUAACUGUGCACAUCUUGACGGUACCUAAUCAGAAAGCCACGGCUAACUACGUGCCAGCAGCCGCGGUAAUACGUAGGUGGCAAGCGUUAUCCGGAAUUAUUGGGCGUAAAGCGCGCGUAGGCGGUUUUUUAAGUCUGAUGUGAAAGCCCACGGCUCAACCGUGGAGGGUCAUUGGAAACUGGAAAACUUGAGUGCAGAAGAGGAAAGUGGAAUUCCAUGUGUAGCGGUGAAAUGCGCAGAGAUAUGGGGGAACACCAGUGGCGAAGGCGACUUUCUGGUCUGUAACUGACGCUGAUGUGCGAAAGCGUGGGGAUCAAACAGGAUUAGAUACCCUGGUAGUCC
rnacentral:rRNA from 1 species